UACGUAGGGUGCAGGCGUUAAUCGGAAUUACUGGGCGUAAAGCGUGCGCAGGCGGUUUGUUAAGCCAGAUGUGAAAUCCCCGGGCUUAACCUGGGAACUGCGUUUGUAACUGGCAAGCUAGAGUGUGGCAGAGGGGGGUGGAAUUCCAAGUGUAGCAGUGAAAUGCGUAGAUAUUUGGAGGAACACCAAUGGCGAAGGCAGCCCCCUGGGUUAACACUGACGCUCAUGCACGAAAGCGUGGGGAGCAAACAGG
rnacentral:rRNA from 1 species